rnacentral:rRNA from 1 species
AGACGGAGGGCGCAAGCGUUGUUCGGAAUUACUGGGCGUAAAGGGCGGGUAGGCGGUCCGUUAAGUCGUUUGUGAAAAUCCGGGGCUCAACCCCGCGAAAUGCAAACGAUACUGGCAGACUGGAGACCGGUAGAGGCUAGCGGAAUUCCUGGUGUAGCGGUGGAAUGCGUAGAUAUCAGGAAGAACACCUGUGGCGAAGGCGGCUAGCUGGGCCGGGUCUGACGCUGAACCGCGAAAGCCAGGGGAGCAAACGGGAUUAGAAACCCCGGUAGUCC